CCGAGAACCAAAGUAUACCAAUAUGAAAUGUAUUCAAAUUGUUUAGGAUAAAAAAGUUUUUUUUUAUUGAUUAAUGCACUCUGUGAAAGUUGUGCAUGGACCAAAAGAUAUAAAUUCGUAAGUUAAAGAACUAUCAACAGUGAUGAGGUAAUAUUCUCCAAUUACAUUUUUAUAAUCUGUUCUUUAUUAUAUACCCAAUCAUUUUGACUAUUAAUUAUUUCUAAGCAAGUUUGAUAAGUGUAGGCCCAAGGAUCUUUAGAGGAAGUUCCCUUUUUGUCUGAAAACAGAUUAUAUAUAUUUAAAUCACUUAAAUCCGAAAAAUUGAAGUUAACUUCUUUAAUGAGUAUUAAAAAAAUUAAAUGAUGCCAAUAAUUAUUUUUAGGGAAUCGAAAUUAUUUGCGAGUAUCAACCUUUUUAGUUAUACUUUUCUAUUAAGACCGUUUUCCCACCUUAUGUGGCCAUUAUAUAUCGGAUGGUAUGUUUGGUCUAAAUAUUGCAUUAUACCAUUUUCUCAUAUCAUAUUCUACAUCAUAUUGUUCAUUGUCAGCUAUUUUCAAUGCGAGAAAGGUUAUAGGUUUAUUUAUAGAAUAAUUUUUCACAUCACUGCGCCAAACGGAAAUCUAUUGAUGUGGUAAUUAUAUCCAACUGGUUUUCUAUAGUUUUUCCAAACUUUACACUCGAAGCACAAUUUUUUUGUGGUACACUCCUAUGAGAUUUUUUUGUUUGUGAUUUGAUCUGAUUAUUUGGGAUCAAAGUAUGUGUUAUGCAACAAGUUUCACUGUUUCUAGUAAAUUAAAUGUAAAACUUAAAUAAUAACUAUCCCUUAUGGAUGCAUGUUAUGUUCAUUAGGUACGAUGGAUAUAAAAAUGUUUAUUGAAUAUUAUUUAAAUCGAUUUUUGCACACUAGGAUGGUACCCAAAAUAUAUUUUCAACAAUAUUAAAUGAUUUAUUUAAUGGUUUUAUGGCCAGCUUGCAUCAAAGAACACAGACACCACUGAUGAGAAAAUCACAAGAAUAAUUUUGUUUCUUGGAAUUAAACCCAAGACGUAUCUGACCCAUUUAAAGAGUACAGGUCUAUAGACGGUGGUAGCAACCCUAUUAAACAUGUAACAUAAUGAAGGAUGCGACCGAUCUUAUUGAAAACAUACUAAUUAGGGUUUUUGGUGACAUAGACGUGGUGUUUGUGUUUUAGGAGAUAUUUCAUGGCUAAAAUCUUUACGUGCGUGCAAAUUGAUAUGGAUAAUAUAACUGUUGAUGUUGCCAUAGCACAUAUAAUUAAACACAAGACAUUGUUACGUUACCAAAUGCAGACUGGAAGUGUGUAUACUAGUGAUAAAGUAAAUGUCAAAUCUUUUAACAAAUUUUACCUAAAUUACGAUAUUCAUAUUCCUGUGCCUUUAGAUAAACCUUAUCAAGGUACAGCACCUCAUUUAUCAUACCGUACGCCUGUUGAUGGAAGAACCUUAGAAGAAGUUACGAAAAGUGCUAUACAAGAAUAUGAAGAUCCAAUGGAAGCCAUCCUUUGGCUUAGAAAUGUUAUUGAAAGCAUUGGAAUUACAACGUUAGUUCACUAUUGUCUAUUCACAGCACAAGCGAUAAAAAUCAUGCCAAAAGAAGCCAAUGAUUUUAGGCAUCAUUUUAAUGAGGCCUCAAAAUUUUUCAAUUUUCUAUCAGAAAUAUUUAAUUAUUACCGUUUACGAAGAGAACCUAUUAAUGAGAUUAUUUUAAUUUAUAAUGAAUAUAACCAAUCUCCAAAAUUAGUAGAAAAUAAACAAAAAUUCAGUAACCAAAGGACAAAUUAUUUCAAUCGUUUUGAGUACUGUAUGUUUUUGGUAAAGAUGCCACAGAAAAAAAUAUUCACUCACGUUAUAAAUAAUCUUAAUGAACUUAAUAAAACUAAAUUAGAAACUUUAAAUUUUAAUUUAGUCAAUUUUUAUAAUCAACAGCUAAUAUUAUUCUAUAGUUACAUACAAUAUAAUGCAAACAUCUUAAAAGGUUGGGUUAUAUAAUACUUUAUAGUAUUUUAAUAUUGAUCGUAAGAAAAUAUUUCCAGUAU